UUCCACAACUUAUUGCAGUGCCUGGCAAAUGGUAGAUAUCCAAUAGAUACUAACUGACUGAAUGUAUGACUGAAAGUUAGACCUGUGGAGCCAUUGAAAGUCCUUAUGAAGUGAAUGAUUACCUCUAGGUGUCAGAAAGAUCCUACCAAAGAAUCUGGAAGUGUGAAUUGGAAGAUGACGAGACCAGAGGCAAAGAGAACAGCUAAGGAUAACCAUGGGAGUCCUACCAUUAAGAACUGCUCAGGAGCUCGAAAGGCCUGCUCACUGGAGGCUGUCUGAUGACCUCGUUCAGCAGCUGGGGAGACCUGUUUUCAAUCAUGGAGGAGGAUCGGGCUCACCCAUCACAGCAGCUACAGCAAUUCAUCUCCAUUUCGAGCUACUAGGAGCCAUCUCUGAGGAUAAGUUUUAAGGGUAAGACUAUAAAUUUAGCUUUCAAGUAUACAAUUUGGAGCCCGUGGGUCACCUGGAAAGAAAUGAUUCAAAAAGUAUGGGUUAGAGGGUAAUGUGGAGAAAAUAGCAGAAAAUGGACUUGGGAGAAAGGCAGGAAUAGUACCAUAAAAUGAUGUUCUCAGAGGGCAAGGAAAGAUGGAAUUUCAGAAGGGAGGAAGCAAUGACUGUGCCCAAACUAAGUAAGAAAAUAACCCCAAAGUGUCUACUGAAUUUAGUGAAAUAUUCUGACCUCUGCCAAAGUGCUUGUGUGGAGUGGGGCAGAAGCUUGACUGUAAUGUGUUGAGGACGUAUAUAUAGGGAGUGAGAAAUGGGGCUGUGUGAGUAGAGAGGAUUAUUCUUUCAAGGCUGCCUGUGAAAGGAAGCUGGACCCUAGCAUGAGAUCUACAGAGGGCCGUGUUGGUCAAGGAAGGUUUUGGUAGGUGUUUGUUUGUUGAAUUGGAAAGAUAUGAAAUGUUUU
rnacentral:lncRNA from 1 species